UUUUUAUAAUAAGAUUGUUAUGGGUGAAAAUCGCAAAUAUUUCGUUUUAAUUAAGGGUUUUCUGCAAAAUAACCCUCCAAGUCAAUCUCGUUUGCAAGUUUACCCUCCAAAUCCGAAUUAUGCAAGUCAACCCCACCAUCUUUAAAGUCACCCGCAAUACAACCCUCUCAUAUAUCGAUGAUGUGACACUCGAUAACUCCGUUUGAAAACAUAAAAAUUUUGUGCAAAAAAAUCCUCAAUGUAUUUUUUUUUUGCAAGAUAAACCUCCAUAUCAAAUAAAUAUAGGUCAAACCACAAUCUGAAAAAUCUCCUGCAACAUAGCCCUUCCGUGUAUCAAUGACGUGACAGUCGAUAACUCAUUUAGAGAUUUUAUAAGUCUAUCGAAUAUAUUACUUUAAUGCAUAUAAUUU
rnacentral:sRNA from 1 species